rnacentral:lncRNA from 1 species
AGUCGCUGGAAAGGUAAGGACGACUUCUUUUCCUUUUGAUUGAGGGCCGCUCCCGCGUCACCUGGAAACACCCAGGCUAGGGGUCCAUUCAGGGCCACAGCUGCCAGCCUCCCCCACAGCCACAGCAGCCCGGGAUCUGAGCCACGUCUGCGACCUACAGCACAGCUCACGGCCACGCCGGAGCCUUCGCCCAGUAGGCGAGGCCAGGGAUCGAACCUGCGUCCUCCAGGAUGCUAGUCGGAUUCAUUACCGCUGAGCCACGACGGGAACUCCUCUGUCACGGUUGACAGCAGUUCUUUUCCGUUCGCGUCUGUUUGAUUUGCAGGCAAUGAGAAUGAACAAGGCAGCUUGGUAAGUAUCAGCCGGGAUCUGCCCCGUGGGGACCCGGGAGGCGUCCCGGGGGGCGCAGGGCAGCCCCAGGCCUUCCCACCAGUGUCCACACGUGGCCCGUGCGGUGGUGUCUGUGCCACCUUCUCAGGGCCCUGCAGGGUCUGUGUCGGCAGACCUCAGUCCUGCUGGUCUUCUGAAGCAGGGGACAGAGGGCUGAAGCAGGGGACAGAGGGCUCUGUGUGGCUCCCGGGGCUGGACCCACAGCGCCCAGACCGCGGGGUUGAGAACGAGUGGAACUCACCGUCCCGCGGAGCUGGACGCCAGAGACUCGAAGUGCCAGGGUCAGCGGGGCCAGUUUCGGGGGAGCUCUCGAGGAGUCCUGCCCUGGUUCCCGCCAUGGGGACUGGACGUCCUUGGCCAGUAGAUGCAUCGUCCAGCCCCUGCCACCUCCCGUGGCCUGUCCCCCGUGACUCCAUCCUCGGACCCCUCCUCUGAAGGACACUGGUCCUGGGCCACAGGUCCCCUUGAGUCCACUCUGACCUCGGCCGGCACGGGUACUAGGGAUUUGGACAUGGCCCUAUCUUUGGGGCCAGCUGUCAGCCCCCCUCAGGCUUCUCUUGGGCUCCCCAGGAGUCAGGGGCAGAGCAGGGCCCCGCCCUCCUGCCGUGUCCUCUCACACACGGCGCUGCCCUUGCGCACCCAUCCGAAAGCUGGCAUUUCUUUGCUUGGCAAGGGCCUGUGCUCCAGGCCGCUGUCGCCAGAAGAAAUGGCUUUGUCCUUUAGGCACAUAGAUGGAACCGGCCCUGCGAGAUGCUGCCGCUCAGAGACCCGGAGAAUGAUGAAGUCGCCUCUCUAGACAGGAGUAGCCCGCUGGCGGUGAGGAAGGGCUCGGCCCUGGCGCUGGAGGCCGGCACCCGCCCGGAGCCCUCCCAGGCCCCUGGGCAGAGCUGUGAGCUGCAGGAGGUGGUGGCCGAGGGAGGGCCAGCAGCCCCCGAGCAGAUGCUGCAGACGGAGGCUCCCGAGGCCUAGGGAGCCCAGGACCAGGCGGAGGUGUCGGCCUCCCUGGAGCAGCUGGAGCAGCCACCGAGAGGGUCUACUGUGAGUUCGGACGUAAGGUUCCAGAAAGCAGCUGGAAGAUGUUUCGGGACUUAAUUGGACUUGAAGGAGACGACAAACACCCAGGGCCUUUGGAAGAGCUCCUUAGCGGAGGAGGGAGCAAGGGAGGGACGUUCCUACUUGUAAACUCACGGCUGGCCUCCAUGUAAUGCAGCUGCAUGUAUAUUUGCAAAAUAUUGUCGGUGAUUUGGUUGCUGCUAAUACCUUACCUGGGCGUGCAGAGAUGCCCCAGUGAGCUCCACUGGGGGCCUGUCCGCAGGGUGCUGGAUGCCUAGGGUCCGAGCUGCCUUCGCAGUCCUGAUCCCACCCCGAUGUCCUGAAUCCCAGAUGACCGCCGGCCCUUUCUGUGCAAAGGGCUUUGUCUGUGAAGCAUCGACCUGAGCGGUCAGUUCUGCAGGUGCGAGAAGGUGCUUCUCUGCCGCGACAAGCUGAGCUGGGGUGCUGCCCGCGGCUGCUGUGGCAGAGGUGGUGUCCGGGGCUGCUCGUUGCAUCCCGUGGGCUCCUGUUGCUCGCAGCCUCUCCCAACACUCUGAGGCCAGGAGUGUUGGGACAUCCCUUCUGCCCCACCAGCCCCUUUUUCCCCUUCUUUCGUGGUGCCCCGGGGCAUAUGGAAUUUCCAGGCCAGGAGUCAGAUCCAGCAACAGGUGCGACCUAUGCUGUAGGUGCUGCAGAGCCGGCGCCUUAAUCCAUGGUGCUAGUCUGUCCCCCUGAGAAGAUCCUUCUAUCCCUGGCCUCGCUCCCUGGGUUCAGGAUACGGCGUUGCUGCCAGCUGCAGCGUCGGUCACAGCCCGGCUCAAAUCCAGUGUUGCCUUGGCUGUGGUAUAGGCGGGCAGCUGCAGCUCAGAUUCAGCCCCUCUCCUGGGAACUUCCACAUGCCACAGGUAAGGCCAUAAAAAAAGCAAUACUAGGAGUCCCCGUCGUGGCCCAGUGGUUAACGAACUCUAGGGUCCCCGAGGAUGCUGCUCUGAUCCCUGGCCUUGCUCAUAUAUGAAGGAUCCGGCGUUGCCGUGAGCUGUGUUGUGGCUCACAGAUGCUGCUCGGAUCUGUUGCUGUGGCUGUGGCAUAGGGCAACAGCGACAGCUCCGAUUUGAGCCCUAGCCCGGGAACUUCCAUGUCGUGAGACACGUUGCUACAGUAUUUUCUGAGCCACUUUGCUGAAAACUCCAUCUUGUCCUGCUUUACUUUACCCCAUCUUCCUGCUUGAAAAGCAGUCGCACUGCCGGUGAAUGACUUAAGCUUAAGAACAAAGACCUAAAGGCAUGAGUUAUCCAUAGGGUCAGCUGAAUGAGGACGUAAUGCGUUGGUCCAGGCACGCCGGACCUGUGCAGAUGGGCACGCUGUUUGCACAAGCAUGAUACAGCCUCUAAGGGAUAAGAGAAAGAGGAAUCUCCUGGCCAGGUGGUUUAGGAGCGGUCCUUAGCAGACUCUGCAUCAGCAAAGAGAACCAAGGUGCCAACUUAGGCAUGCCCGGUUGCCGCAAAUAGGCGCAAAUAGGCGUGCCCUUUGCGGAAGCACAGGGAGGAGUCUCUGGAAUGCUCUGCAUGGAUCGCUAACUCCAAUGCUAAUGGUCGUUAUGUGCCUAAAGGUCAGAGUAAAAGCUUAACCUUCUACCAGCCAAGUGACUUUUACAAUAAUAAAAGAACUUAUGCAAUAAUAAACAAACCCCAUAUCCUGCACCCAUAGCCCCCGCCUCACUCGACCUCAUCCUCAAGAGCACAAUAAGAGCAGUGGGGUUUCUUGAGGGGGGCUCUUGGUCCCUGAGACCUUGAGUCCCCCGGUUCCCGCCUUUAC